rnacentral:lncRNA from 1 species
UUGAGCUAUCUACUCAUAUAUUUUCCCACGUUUUUCUUUAUCAGGCAGCAAUUGAGUAUCUGGGCAUCUUGGGGAGUCGAGUCUUGAUUUUGAAUUCAGACCCACACGACAGAGUUUGUUAGUAUGACUCACUUCAUAGAACAUGUAGUCAGUGUUUUGGGACGCCGUCUAGAUGUGGUUUUUGCAUCACUUGUAAAUAGUUAUUGGGCUCACUAUGUAAUUUGCUUCCAUAUGUACAUUUCAUGCUAUUUUCUUGGUAAAAGAUGAACUUUCAGCUUAUUGUUAUUGUGUUGUGUUAUAAUUUAGGAUUUGUGUAUAGUGGAAUACAGGUUGGUUAGUCCGAUUUACAAAGGAGAUAAUGCCGAAAUUAUGUUAGAAAUUAUUUAUAAAAAGUUGCAUAUCGUGGUUGUAGUAGCUUUGAUGGUAGGUCCGACUUUUAGUUGGUAUCUAUCAUCGGCGCAUGCCAUGCUUCGGGUCUAGCAGUGUUACACGGGACGGGGCGUGUCACUUUGGUAUCAGAGCAUGCAUUAGAGUCCAUAGGUUUGCAUUGUACAUACAUACAUUCUGAUUUUUAGCAUAUGAUGCAUAACUGUAGGUGAGUCAUGCCUCGUGGUGGUAAAACUCGAAGGCUCCAAGAUAUGUUGCCCCAAUCUCACAUUGCUCCUGAUAGACCUAGAGAGUUCGAGAGGGUAGAAGAAUCAGUUCACCAACCUCCUGAACAACGGGGAUAGGAAAAUGUGAUUGGAACUGAUUCUAUGAUUGUUGAAAGAAUUGUUAUUGUUGUUGCAUCCGCUAUGCAUAAUAUUGAGAGAGAUUUCAGUAAUGAAAGGGCUACAAAAUUAGGGGCUAAAGUUUUCACUAGAACAGCCGAUCCUGCAGUUGCUCAGGCAUGGAUGACCAAGAUAGAGAGGGUAUUUGAUGUUAUGGGUUGCUCAAAUGAUGGAAAGUUGUGUCUUGCCACUUUCUUAUUAGAGAAGAGUGCGUAUGAUUGGUGGCAGUCGGUACGGAGCACAUAUCUAAACCCUUCCAUCAUCACUUGGAUAGAUUUUUGGCGUAUCUUUUACGAUGCCUAUUACCCUUGAUCCUAUAAAGAUGUAAAACAGGAGAAAGUUUUGAAACUAGUACAAGACCAUAUGAUUAUUGUAGAAUAUCAGGUGAAAUUUAUUGAACUUUCAAAAUAUACCUAAGUUUUGGUAAGCAACAAAAUGGAUAAAUGCAGUUGAUUUGAAAAUAGGUUAAGGGAAGAGAUCCGAUCAGUAGUAACAGCUGGAGGCUGGAACGAACUUGGGAAAUUGGUGGAAUCAGCUUUGAGAGUAGAAAAGAGCAUUAUAGUAGGCCAAGUGGUAGAGAACAAACAAUAUUUAGAGCAAACAGUAGUCAAACAAUGACAAGUGCUUCUAGUAAUAGACCCCCAUGAAGGACAGUAGAGGAUUUCGACCUGGUGUAUCCAGUUCAGAUCAAUUCAAAUCUCGAUUUCAAGAAAGCCAGGGUCCUAGAUUCAGUCCCAAUACUGUGCAGCAACCAUUGGCCAGUCGUACUUAUACUCGGGGUUCUUCCCAAAGAUCAUUUACUCCGAGACAGGGAGAGAGUUCUACUAGUGCCAGAUUUCCUUCUUGCAAGUAAUGUGAAAGAUCUCAUCCUGAAGAGUGCUUAAAGUUCAAGGGAGCUGGUGUUUGCUAUCACUGUGGCUAAGAAGGACAUCUGAAAAGGAACUGCCCAGUUGUAUUCCAUGAGAGUGGCAUGGCAUAGAGGAUGUUUCCUCAACAGAGUGCUAGUACUACAAGACAGAAUCAGACUCAGAGAAAUGAUUCAGCUAACAGAGAAAGUGCAAACAGUGCGGCCCAGUCUAAUAUCGCAAGCGAUAGUGGUACAAAAUCAAAAGGUCAAGCAGGACAACCGAAGGCCCAGGGCAAAGUUUUUGCUAUGACUCAACAGAUGGCAGAGGAGUUACCAGAUGUUAUCAUGGGUAUGUUGUCUAUUUUUGAUAAAAAUGCUCAUAUUUUGAUUGAUCCUAGAUCUUCACAUUCUUUUAUGUAAUUUGCAUUUACUUUAUAUAUGAAUCAAAAGCUAGAACCUCUAGGCAGUUGUUUGGUAGUGAGUACACUAGUAGGAGAAUCACUAUUAGCAAACAGUAUAUAUCGAGAUUGUGGGAUUAAGGUAAAGGAGAAUGAGCUGAAGGCAAAUUUGACACAUCUUGACAUAUAUGAUUUCGAUGUUAUCUUGGUUAUGGAUUUUCUGGCAACAAAUCGAGCUUCAAUUGAUUGCUUUCGAAAGGAGGUUGUGUUUAGGCAGCCAGAACGGCCUGAACUUAUAUUCGCAGAAUUUUAUCAUCUUGUGUGAUAUCUGCUAUUGAUGCUAGAAGAUUACUCAACAAGGGCUGACAUGCAUAUUUGGCUCAUGUGAUUGAUACAAAUGUUAGUAAACUAAAACUCAAAGAUAUCUCAGUGGUUAAAGACUUUCCUGAUGUAUUUCCAUAAGAAUUACCAGGCUUACCAUCAGAUAGGGAUAUCGAGUUCACUAUAGAUCUGAUUCCAGGAACUGCACCUAUUUCACGAGUUCCAUAUAGGAUGACUCUAAUAGAAUUGAAAGAGCUAAAGGUUCAAUUGCAAGAGUUGGUAGACAAGGAUUUCAUCAGACCUAGUGUAUCUCCAUGGGGAGCACCAAUUUUAUUUGUGAAGAAGAAAGAUGGCACCAUGUGAUUGUGCAUAGAUUACAGACAGUUGAACAAAGUGACAAUUCGCAAUAAAUAUCCUUUGCUAUGUAUUGAUGAUUUGUUUGAUCAACUUCGUGGUGCUGCAGUAUUCUUAAAGUUUGAUUUGCGUUCUGGAUAUCAUCAACUUAAAAUCAGGGACAGUAAUAUGCCAAAAACUAUUUUCAGGACAAGGUAUGGUCAUUAUGAAUUUGUUGUGAUGCCAUUUGGGUUGACCAAUGCACCAGCAGCAUUUAUGGAUAUGAUGAAUAGAGUGUUUCGCUCUUAUUUAGACAGAUUUGUGAUUGUAUUCAUCGAUGAUAUUUUAGUAUACUCUUAGAAUCAUGAUGAGCACACAGAGCAUCUCAAAAUCAUCUUACAAACUCUACGGGAUAAGCAGUUGUAUGCUAAAUUCAGUAAAUGUGAAUUCUGGCUGGAUAGAUUUGUAUUCUUGGGACAUGUCAUAUCAGUAGAGAGAAUUUAUGUUGACCCGCAGAAAAUUGAGGCAUUGAUAAAGUGGGAAAGGCCUACUAAUGUGACAGAAAUACAAAGUUUUAUUCGCUUAGCAGGUUAUUGCUGUCAUUUUGUAGAGGAAUUUUCUAAAAUUGUUCUGCUUUUGACCAGUUUGACUAGAAAGAAUGAUAAUUUUGUAUGGAAUGAAGAUUGUGAAAGAAGUUUUCUCGAAUUGAAGAAUCGAUUAGUGUCAGCUCCAGUUCUUACCCUAUCAUCUCCUGGUAAAGAGUUUGUAAUAUUUAGUAAUGUUUUACGUCAGGGUCUUGGUUGUGUUUUAAUGCAGAAUGGGAAAGUUAUACCGUAUGCUUCCAGGCUGUUGAAGAAACAUGAACUGAGUUAUCUUACACAUGACUUAGAGCUAGCUGCAGUUGUCCUAGCCUUGAAGAUUUGGAGACAUUACUUGUAUGGCGAGAGAUGUCAGAUAUAUACAGAUCAUAAAAGCUUAAAGUAUAUUUUCAAUCAGAAAGAGUUGAACCUGAGGCAAAGAAGAUGGUUAGAGUUGAUAAAAGAUUACGAUUGCAAGAUGAUUAUCAUCUAGAGAAGGCUAAUGUAGUUGCUAAUACUCUCAGUCAGAAGAUAUCAAAUCCUAUGAUCUAGACUAAUGCAAUAUGUUCUUCUUUGUUUGGUGAGUUUAGAGCUUCACAUGCCCAAUUGUCAGUUACUAAUGUAGGAGCAUUGUUUGCCAACUUCCAAGUCACUUUGAUUGACACAGUUAGAGAAGCCCAAACUCAAGAUCCAGUGUUGAGCAAAUUGAAAGAAGAAGUUAGUAAAGGUAAGCACAUAGAUUAUACCAUUCGAGAUGACGGAGCUUUAGUUAUGGAAAACAGAUUAUGUGUUCCAGAUGAUUCGAAAUUGAAGAGAGAAAUUCUAGAAGAGGCACAUUGUUCAGCUUACGCAAUACAUCCGGUUAGUGUUAAAAUGUAUCAUAUACUCAAAGAACACUAUUGGUGGCAUGGAUUUGUAUCCAGAUGUCUCAUUUAUUAGCAAGUGAAACUAGAUCGUCAGAAAAUAGCAGGAUUGUUACAAAUACUGCCUAUUCCUGAGUGGAAAUGGGAGCACAUUACUAUGGAUUUCUUAUUUGGACUUCCACAGACUCAUAGUGGACAUAAUGGCACAUGGAUCAUUAUAGACAGAUUGAUGAAGCUACCAGAUUUUUGCCUAUUAAAAUCACUUACUCGUUAAAUAAAUUGGCAAAAAUAUAUGUUGAUGAGAUAAUCAGUUUGUAUGGGGCACCAGUAUCUAUUAUUUCAGAUAGAGAUUCUCGUUUUAUUUCUAAAUUUUGGCCCAGUUUGCAGAAAGCUAUGGGUACUAAACUUCAUUUCAGUACAACUUUUCAUCCACAAACAGAAGGUCAGUCAGAAAGAACUAUUCAGACUUUGGAAGAUAUGUUACGAGCUUGUGUACUAUAGUUUAAAGGGAAUUGGGAAACUCAUCUUCCUUUGAUGUAGUUUGCUUAUAAUAACAGUUAUCAUUCAAGUAUAGGAAUGACUCCUUUUGAAGCACUGUAUGGUAGGAUAUGAAGAACUCCAGUAUGUUGGGAUGAAGUGGGCGAAAGAAAGUUAUUGGUCCUGAAUAAGUCCAGAUUACUGUUGAGAAAGUAAAGAUAAUUAAAGAAAAGUUAAAGACAACUCAAAAUAGACAGAAGAACUAUACAGAUAGACGCAGAAGAAACCUUGAAUUUGAUGUUGAGGAUAGAGUUUUCCUGCGAUUGUCGCCAUGGAAAUGUGUUAUCAGAUUUGAUAAACGGGAUAAAUUGAGUCAGAGGUAUAUUGGCCCAUAUGAGAUUAUUGAGUGCAUUGGUCCAAUUGCUUAUCGAUUGUCUUUGCCAAUGGAAUUGUCCAGAAUUCAUGAUGUAUUCCAUGUUUCCAUGCUUCGUAAGUAUAUUCCGAAUCCAUCUCAUGUUUUGGAAUCACUACCAGUAAAGCUGAAAGAAAAUCUUACAUAUGAAGAAGAACCAGUUCAGUUAUUGGACUGAAAAGAAGAUGUCUUGCUCAGUAAGACUAUUCAUUUGGUUAAAGUCUUGUGGAGGAAUCAGGCUGUAGAAGAAGCUACACGGGAAAGUGAAGAGCAGAUGUGUUCUCAGUAUCCCCAGAUUUUUCGCACUUAGUUAAUUGAAUUUUGAAGAAAUUCUUUUAAGGAGGUGAGUUUUGUAAUACUUUAAUUAAUUUAAAAGGGAAGUCAACCAAAUUGGUCAAAAAUGUCCAGAAUGAAAAAAAAAGGAUAAAACAAAAAUUGGCAGGCGAUGGAUAAAAGUCAUCCAAAUCCAAUCUGUUAUAUAUAUACAAUCAAAAUCUCAUAACACAACACACACUACAAACACAAGAAACAAAAACAGGGAGAAAGAAAGAGGAGAGAAAGGAAAAAGAAGAAAAAAAGGGGAAAAAGAAGGAAAAAAGGAGGAAAAUUUGCCAAUAUGUUAGGAAUUAAGCGAGUUAUACUAUUAGGCUUGAAUUCCUCAAUUUCAAAAGGUAAGUAAAAAGUUACUUAUUGUCAAGUUAUGUUUAAUAUUAUAGUUGUUUGAUUGUUAGAUUAAAUUCAAUUUUAUUGAAGGGGUUAAGUAUAAUAAACUAUGAAAUUAAGUAAAAUGAAAGAAAAAUUAGUUUUAGUGAUUAGAUAGACUUUAGAAAUUGCUCAAAUGUGAAAUGAUUAAGUUGAGCAUCUCGCCUGUUUAAUUAUUGAAAUUACUUAAAAUAAUUAAUUAUCGAUUUAAAAAUUAUAUCAUAUUUCAAGUGGUGAUGCGGGUAUCGGGGCAGCGUACCAGCCAAGUUGAUAUUGACGUGCAUAGUUCUGUGAGUGGAAAAAUAUAAGUAUUUUUAAAGUAAUUAUAAAUUAAGUAUAUUAUCAAAGUAUGUGCAAUUAUGUAAAUUAUUUGCUCCAUUAUGUGAUUACGAUGAAAGUUUCUCUUAUUAUGAUUCAUGUCGAAUCUCAAAAAUUAUUUAUGGCACAUUUGUGACUUGGUAAAUAAGACAUGUGAUAUUGAGAUUUGUCUGAUAUGUGAGACAUGUAAUAUUGAGAUCGACCAGAAAAGCACUCAUGAUUAUACUUCUUCUAGUUCACAGAGGGGCCUUGGCCGUGUUCUAUCCUACAUGGAGGGUCUUGACAGGACAUUGGUCUUGACCGUAUACAUAUAGUUCACAGUAGGACCAUGAUCGUUUAUAAAAUUGAUUAUGAGAGGUCUUUGAGACCUGCUUUCGUUCACAGAGAGGGUCAAAGGCCCAUGGUUAAAGUUUUUAGCUCGAGGGGUGGAUUACAAAUUUCAGUCAGAUGGUACAUUUGUGGUGGAUUUUUCAGUAUAUUUGAUAUGAUGAGAGUCUGGUAUGAUUAUUAGCUUAUGUUAAUAUCAUGAUUUGAGAUGAUAUUUUAUGAAGUUGUGUGGAUAUCUCACGUUUUGGCUAUAAUUAUAUGAUGUUAUCUUGUAAAUUAUUCAAUGAUAUGAAUUCGAUUUUCAAUAAAUAUAAAAUGGGAAAAAUAUAUUUAAUUUUGAACUUCUCCACUCACUGAACUAUCAAUUCAUAUAUUUUUCCACAUUUUUCCUUGUCAGGCAGCAAUUGAGUAUCUGGGCAUCUUGGGGAGUUGAGCCUUGAUUUUGGAUUUAGAGCCACACAACAGAGUUUGUUAGUAUGACUCACUUCAUAGAACAUGUAGUCAGUGCAUGUUCAUGUCUAGAUAUGAUUUGGCAUCACUUGUAAAUAAUUAUUGGGCUCACUAUGUAUAUUGCUUCCAUAUGUACAUUUCAUGUUAUUUUCUUGGUAAAAGAUGAAAUUUCAG